rfam:Beggiatoa sp. 4572_84 ex4572_84_scaffold_3007, whole genome shotgun sequence.
GGGAGCCGUGUGAGGGGAAACUUUCACGCACGGUUCUGAAGACCAGUCCCUUAUGGCGACAUAAGGGGCUGAGUUUAAC